rnacentral:ncRNA from 1 species
UACUCUAUCCAUUUGGAGUAAUCCUACCACAGCCUGCUUGACUGGUAACGGUCAUGUUGGGAAGCCUGUGGAACAAUAUGGAAAGUCUGAUAGCCUAAAAUCAGAUGGACUG